rnacentral:rRNA from 1 species
ACUCAAAUGAAUUGACGGGGGCCCGCACAAGCGGCGGAGCAUGUGGAUUAAUUCGAUGCAACGCGAAGAACCUUACCUGGGCUUGACAUGGACUAGAAAGCUCUAGAGAUAGAGCCUCCCUUGUGGCUGGUUCACAGGUGGUGCAUGGCUGUCGUCAGCUCGUGUCGUGAGAUGUUGGGUUAAGUCCCGCAACGAGCGCAACCCUCGUUCCAUGUUGCCAGCACGUAAUGGUGGGGACUCAUGGGAGACUGCCGGGGUCAACUCGGAGGAAGGUGGGGAUGACGUCAAGUCAUCAUGCCCCUUAUGUCCAGGGCUUCACACAUGCUACAAUGGCCGGUACAAAGGGCUGCUAAGCCGUGAGGUGGAGCGAAUCCCAUAAAGCCGGUCUCAGUUCGGAUCGGGGUCUGCAACUCGACCCCGUGAAGUCGGAGUCGCUAGUAAUCGCAGAUCAGCAACGCUGCGGUGAAUACGUUCCCGGGCCUUGUACACACCGCCCGU